rnacentral:snRNA from 1 species
AUCGCUUCUCGGCCUUUUGGCUAAGAUCAAGUGUACUAUCUGUUCUGAUCAGUUUAAUAAUCUCGCAGUUCAUGAAUUGAUGACCUGUGUGAGGCUCCAU